CGUGUAGGCGGGACGGCGCGUCGGCCGCUGAAAUCCCCCGGCUCAACCGGGGAAGGGGCGCCGAUACGGCCGGCCUGGAGCGACGUAGGGGGGGCUGGAACUUCCGGUGGAGCGGUGAAAUGCGUUGAGAUCGGAAGGAACGCCCGUGGCGAAAGCGAGCCCCUGGACGUCGGCUGACGCUGAGACGCGAAAGCCAGGGGAGCGAACG
rnacentral:rRNA from 1 species